GAUGAACGCUGGCGGCGUGCUUAACACAUGCAAGUCGAACGUGAUAGGUAGCAAUAUCUUGAAAGUGGCGAACGGGUGAGUAACACGUGGGUAACCUGCCUCGGAGUGGGGAUAACAGUUAGAAAUGACUGCUAAAACCGCAUGAAUCCAUGAAUUGGGGACAAUUGAUGGAGAAAACUCUGGUGCUUCGAGAGGGGCCCGCGGCCGAUUAGCUAGUUGGUGAGGUAACGGCUCACCAAGGCGACGAUCGGUAGCUGGUACUGAGAGGACGAUCAGCCACACGGGAACUGAGACACGGUCCCGACUCCUACGGGGGCAGCAGUGAGGAAUAUUGGGCAAUGGGCGCAAGCCUGACCCAGCAACGCCGCGUGGAGGAAUGAAGGCCUUC
rnacentral:rRNA from 1 species